AUAGGAAAUGGUGAAUGAGAGAAAGAAAAGAAGCGCUCUUCUCCUUUUUUUCUACUCACAACUUUUUCAUUUUUUUCUUCUUCUCCUUCUUCUUGCUUCUCUCUCUUCUUCCACUAGAUCUCUGAACUCUCUCAACUCUUUCUCUCUCCUCUUCUUCUUCUUCUUCAAGUAGAUCUCUGAACUCUUAACUUCUCUCUAUUCACUUUCUCUCUCCUCCCUUCUUUACUCAUUUGGGUUUUCUCUAGUUGCUGCAGUAGAAAAAGAUUAAAUAAAAAGAUGGAGCUUUAGAUAAUGAUAUCAUGUGGUGUAAAUUUGGGUGACUAGAAGCUGUUAUAACUCUGGCCAGCAUUUCCUUUCUCUUUUCUAGUCCCCCUCCUUGAAAGAUAUGAAUCACUUGACUGUUCAAACAGUAGAUACAUUUUCAAGUUUGCUUGAAGUUUCUGCGAAUAAUGAUGUGGAGGGGUUUAAACGAUUAAUUGAGGAUGAUCCAUCUGGACUUGAUGAAGUUGGGUUGUGGUAUGUUAGGAAAAAAGGAUCCAAACAGAUGGUCUAUCAGCAUAGAACUCCCUUGAUGGUUGCUUCAAUGUACGGCAGUAUGGAUGUUCUGAAAUUGAUUCUCUCUCUUGCCAUUACUGAUGUUAACCGAUCAUGCGGAGACGAUAAAAGUACUGCACUGCACUGUGCUGCUUCUGGUGGUUCUGUGAAUGCUGUUGAUGCUGUGAAGUUGCUCCUGGAGGCAGGUGCUGACCAUAAUGCACUUGAUGCUGAUGGACAUCGGCCUUUUGAUGUUAUUAUGGUCUCACCAAAGCAGAAUGAUGUAAAAUAUGCUCUUGAAGAACUCCUUGCUGGUCAUGGUUCUAUCAGUGAGCGCAUUUUAAGGCUUUCAACUACCACUUCGAAUUCGAAUUCACCACCGCUCUCAUCUUCACCAGGAAAUGGAUCUCCUUCGUCUUAUUCAGACUCACCACCUUCCCCGAUAAACUCAAAGUUUGAUGAUCCCCAAGCUAUAUCUUACACAUCAGAGAAGAAAGAAUACCCCAUUGAUCCAUCUAUACCUGAUAUUAAGAACAGCAUUUAUGCAACUGAUGAGUUCCGUAUGUACUCCUUCAAAAUCCGCCCUUGUUCUCGUGCUUAUUCUCAUGAUUGGACAGAGUGCCCUUUUGUUCAUCCAGGUGAAAAUGCUAGGAGAAGGGAUCCUCGGAAGUACCAUUACAGCUGUGUUCCUUGCCCUGAUUUCAGAAAAGGAGCUUGUAGGAGAGGGGAUAUGUGUGAGUAUGCUCAUGGAGUUUUUGAGUGUUGGCUCCACCCAGCUCAAUACCGAACACGCCUCUGCAAGGAUGGCCCAAGUUGUUCUAGAAGAGUUUGUUUCUUUGCUCAUGCAACUGAUGAACUCAGACCUCUUUAUGUAUCUACUGGUUCUGCUGUUCCCUCACCCCGCUCAAGUGCUUCAAGCUCUAUGGAUUUUGCUGCAGCAAUGAACUUUAUGCCCGGAUCUCCUUCGUCGCUUAUGUCUCCAUCCACUUUCACACCACCAAUGUCACCAUCAGCUCCUAAUGGCAUUUCUCACUCUUCCUUGGCUUGGCCACAUCCAGAUGUUCCAUCACUGCGUCUCCCGGGAAGCAAUCUCCAGUCCAGUAGAUUGAGAUCAUCUCUCAAUGCAAGAGAUCUUGCCGCCGAAGAGUUUGAGAUGCUGCAAGAUUAUGACUUGCAACAACAGCAACAGCUCCUGAAUGAAUUUUCUUGCCUCUCUAUGAAUCCUAAUUCUUUGAACCGUUCUAAUCGCUCAAAAACUCUGAAUCCUUCUAACUUGGAUGAUCUCUUUUCUGCGGAAAGCUCAUCUCCACGUUACAACGAUCAAGGACUGGGUUCAUGUGUUUACUCGCCUACUCAUAAGUCUGCUGUUUUCAACCAGUUCCAGCAGCAACAAGGCAUGUUCUCUCCAAUCAACACAAAUUUCUCUCCUAAAGGAGUAGUUGAGCAUCCAUUGAUGUCAGGAAGAAUGUCUCCUCGAAGUGUGGAACCCAUCUCCCCACUGAGUGCUCGGGCUUCUAUGCUUGCUCAACGAGAGCAACAGCUUCAUCAGUUCCGCAGUCUCAGCUCUAGGGAUCUCGGAACCAACUUGGGUGCCAUCGUGGGUUCUCCUGUUCAUUCUUGGUCGAGAUGGGGUUCCUCCAAUGGGAAACCAGACUGGGGUACUAACACAGAAGAAUUGGGUAAACUCAGGAGAUCUUCGUCUUUUGAGCUUGGGAAUAAUGGUGAAGAGCCUGAUCUUUCUUGGGUACAGUCGCUUGUCAAAGAAUCACCUACUGAACUUAAAGAGAAGGCUGCAGGUACGACAUCAUCAACGGUUGACAGUUCUUAUAUGAACGAACAAACUGAAGUAGUUGAUAUGGCUGAAAGAUUUUGAAGAACAAUGUUACUUGUCUUUUGCUUUCUGGGUUUUAUUGGUAGCAAUGAGGCAAGAUAGGUAGCAGAAAGAAUGGAGCAUGGUCAAAUAUUUCUAAACUAGAUUAGUAUAGAGGUUGGAUCAUACUGAAGACAGAACCCGUGAUUUUUGUUAAUUUAGUGCUUGUUUGGGUGUCUUGAUAAAGAAGCAUGGCGAGUACGUAGGAAUUGAAGUAAACAUGAACUUGUUUGGUUGACGAAACAAAAAUGGAGAAAGUUGCUUAUCUAAGUCCUCUUGAAAUAACUGAGUUUCUUAUGAUCAAUCAAACAAUUGUAUGUACCUCCUUGGAAAUGGAAUUAUAAGGGAAAUCAACUGCCUAGGAAUUAUUACUUCCUAUGUUCGAUCACACGAAACUUAGAUGUUUGGGAUUAGACAUGUCAAAUUUAGUUUGCUGGAUAGUUUGUGAUGGGUAAACUUGGACUUGGUACAAGCCAAAUUUUUAUUUUUAUUUUUUUAAGAUGAAGUCCCUUGCCGGGUGGGGGGGGGGGGAUUUGGGGAUCCUUCGUUGUAAGGGGUGAGACUCGAUCUUAGAAUCUCUGAGAUCAGAGGUGAUGCCAACACCACUAGGCUAUCACCUUCUGCUCUUGGUACAAGUCACUUUUCCAGCGGCUUUUAGGUCAAACUUAAACCUUUUUAUUUUUUUCUCUGAGUUAUUUCAAGUUUCGGGUUGAAAACAUUCAAGACCCUAAAUUUUUGUACAUGUUGUGAUUAGGUUUUCUCUCUAAUGAAAUUAUGUUUGGUCUAUCUUGGAUCAAAUAAACUCAAACACCAAGAUAAGUCAUGAGCUUGACAAGUUGACACUUUUUUCUUGGCACUUGAAAUCACUUUCGUCAUGGAUAGCACAGUUAGAUGCUGAGAAUGUAAUGAGGUGAUGGUUGUUUACUAUUGUUGUCUUGUUGAGCUUUUCUGUAUCAUUAUUCUAGCUCAUUUUGUACCUUUACAAUAAAGUAUGUGGAAAAGAAGGGUAGAAAAACCUUGGCUGAAAAUUGUUCUCUUGUCUCA